UAAGGAUAAGCAUCGAGGGCCUGAACGAGAAAGCUGGAGUUUAUUUUCGGGACCCAGGAAGGGGGCACACAGCCCAUGCAGAAGGUUCCCGGCUGCAACCUCCCAGAGAGGACUUUUCCCCACGUACAGGUGGAAGAGCCGCCCGGACCACAGAUACAUUUCAUCUUGCUCUUCAGUAGACAAGGAAAAUUGCGGCUGCAGAAGUGGUAUACCACUCUCCCUGAUAAAGAGAGGAAAAAGAUCACCCGGGAAAUCAUUCAGAUCAUUCUGGCUCGUGGUCACAGGACAAGCAGUUUUGUUGACUGGAAGGAGCUAAAACUUGUUUAUAAAAGGUAUGCUAGUUUAUAUUUUUGCUGUGCAAUAGAAAAUCAAGACAAUGAGCUCUUGACCCUAGAGAUUGUACACCGGUACGUGGAGUUGCUGGACAAAUAUUUUGGAAACGUCUGCGAGCUGGAUAUUAUCUUUAAUUUUGAAAAGGCAUACUUUAUCCUGGACGAGUUUAUCAUAGGUGGAGAAAUUCAGGAAACAUCCAAGAAAUCUGCUGUCAAAGCCAUUGAGGACUCUGACAUGCUGCAGGAGCAGGUCAAGAGUCAAGAGGAUUGCAAGACUUAUACAGUACUUUUUUAAAAUUGGUGCUAACGCCAUUCUUCCCGCUAUUUGGAAUUAAGAGGCUGAUUAAGUUACUAAGACCUUAGGCAUGAUUCCCCAGCAACUGUCUUGGCACUUUACGCUGAUUACUUACUCCCGACCAUGGAGGGACUCCGUCCUCAGACAAUGGAAGAGUACAUGAGCAAGCCUACAUUUUAACAGUUCAUCUACUUGAAAACUCCAAGGGCUACGUGUUGUGAACCUCCGAAUCAGCAACGCCUUACAUCCAAUCUCCACAGAGCCUCUGGCACCAUGCCAAAAACAACAUAAAGGGAUUCGUUAUGAACUAGAAAGAAUGCAAGUUGUUUAGGACGAGAUAUUUAUAAUUUCUACAUGCCUGUAUUACACUGCAUCUGGGUACUUUUUGUGGGUUCAGUUGCUUGGAAUAAUGGCUGCAUAACUAACAGACUGAUCAGUUGUUUGCAGUAUUUUAAUUCCUUAGACCUUUAAGCUAAUUAAAAAAAUUAUUUGCAAUUUUUUUUUUUUUGUUGUUGCCAUUUGAUAUACUUACAGGCUGGAAACUGCUUUGUGAUAACCAACAAUUUUGAAUGUGAAGUAUAUCUUAUAUCACUAAUGCCUUUCCUAAAUGUUCAGUUUUUAAAGAUGUAAAUGAAUUCAAAUUUAUGUAACAAGUUCAGAGUUCAUACAUGAUGCUAGGUAUUUUAAUAUCCUUAAUAGUACUGUAAUUUCAGACUAGAUACAAUGUAUCUGUCUUAUUGUCCUGAAUUUUCUUUUU